rnacentral:tRNA from 1 species
GGGGAUAUAGCUUAGUGGUAGAGUGCUUGCCUAACAUGGAUGAGCUGUAGGUUCAAUUCCUAAUACUUCCC